rnacentral:rRNA from 1 species
CCUACGGGAGGCAGCAGUGAGGAAUAUUGGUCAAUGGACGCAAGUCUGAACCAGCCAUGCCGCGUGCAGGAAGACGGCUCUAUGAGUUGUAAACUGCUUUUGUACGAGGGUAAACGCAGAUACGCGUAUCUGUCUGAAAGUAUCGUACGAAUAAGGAUCGGCUAACGCCGUGCCAGCAGCCGCGGUAAUACGGAGGAUUCAAGCGUUAUCCGGAUUUAUUGGGUUUAAAGGGGGCGUAGGCGGGCGGAUAAGUCAGAAGUGAAAUCCCUAGGCUCAACUUCGGAAUUGCAUCUGAUACUGUUCGGCUAGAGAAUAGUAGAGGUAGGCGGAAUUCAUGGUGUAGCGGUGAAAUGCUUAGAGAUCAGGCAGAACACCGAUUGCGAAGGCAGCUUACCAGGCUACUACUGACGUUGAGGCACGAAAGCGUGGGGAGCAAACAGGAUUAGAUACCCGAGUAGUC